rnacentral:rRNA from 1 species
GAUGAACGCUGGCGGCAUGCCUUACACAUGCAAGUCGAACGGCAGCGGGGGAGAAGCUUGCUUUUCCUGCCGGCGAGUGGCGAACGGGUGAGUAAUACAUCGGAACGUGCCCUGUAGUGGGGGAUAACUAGUCGAAAGAUUAGCUAAUACCGCAUACGACCUGAGGGUGAAAGUGGGGGACCGCAAGGCCUCAUGCUAUAGGAGCGGCCGAUGUCUGAUUAGCUAGUUGGUGGGGUAAAGGCCUACCAAGGCGACGAUCAGUAGCUGGUCUGAGAGGACGAUCAGCCACACUGGGACUGAGACACGGCCCAGACCCCUACGGGAGGCAGCAGUGGGGAAUUUUGGACAAUGGGCGAAAGCCUGAUCCAGCAAUGCCGCGUGUGUGAAGAAGGCCUUCGGGUUGUAAAGCACUUUUGUCCGGAAAGAAAUGGCUCUGGUUAAUACCUGGGGUCGAUGACGGUACCGGAAGAAUAAGGACCGGCUAACUACGUGCCAGCCGCCGCGGUAA